rnacentral:rRNA from 1 species
UGACUAGUGAAUACAUAGCUAGCAAGAGGUAGACGCAGUGAACUGAAACAUCUUAGUAGCUGCAGGAAGAGAAAGAAAUAUCGAUUCCCUGAGUAGCGGCGAGCGAAAAGGGAAGAGCCCAAACCAAUAAGCUUGCUUGUUGGGGUUGUAGGACUGAACAUUAGAGUUACCAAAGUGCGACGUAGUCGCAACAGUUGGGAAGCUGUGCCAUAGAGGGUGAAAGCCCCGUAGACGAAACGUCGCACUCUCUGUUCAG